rnacentral:rRNA from 1 species
GAUGAACGCUGGCGGCGUGCCUAAUACAUGCAAGUCGAGCGAACGGACGAGAAGCUUGCUUCUCUGAUGUUAGCGGCGGACGGGUGAGUAACACGUGGAUAACCUACCUAUAAGACUGGGAUAACUUCGGGAAACCGGAGCUAAUACCGGAUAAUAUUUUGAACCGCAUGGUUCAAAAGUGAAAGACGGUCUUGCUGUCACUUAUAGAUGGAUCCGCGCUGCAUUAGCUAGUUGGUAAGGUAACGGCUUACCAAGGCAACGAUGCAUAGCCGACCUGAGAGGGUGAUCGGCCACACUGGAACUGAGACACGGUCCAGACUCCUACGGGAGGCAGCAGUAGGGAAUCUUCCGCAAUGGGCGAAAGCCUGACGGAGCAACGCCGCGUGAGUGAUGAAGGUCUUCGGAUCGUAAAACUCUGUUAUUAGGGAAGAACAUAUGUGUAAGUAACUGUGCACAUCUUGACGGUACCUAAUCAGAAAGCCACGGCUAACUACGUGCCAGCAGCCGCGGUAAUACGUAGGUGGCAAGCGUUAUCCGGAAUUAUUGGGCGUAAAGCGCGCGUAGGCGGUUUUUUAAGUCUGAUGUGAAAGCCCACGGCUCAACCGUGGAGGGUCAUUGGAAACUGGAAAACUUGAGUGCAGAAGAGGAAAGUGGAAUUCCAUGUGUAGCGGUGAAAUGCGCAGAGAUAUGGAGGAACACCAGUGGCGAAGGCGACUUUCUGGUCUGUAACUGACGCUGAUGUGCGAAAGCGUGGGGAUCAAACAGGAUUAGAUACCCUGGUAGUCCACGCCGUAAACGAUGAGUGCUAAGUGUUAGGGGGUUUCCGCCCCUUAGUGCUGCAGCUAACGCAUUAAGCACUCCGCCUGGGGAGUACGACCGCAAGGUUGAAACUCAAAGGAAUUGACGGGGACCCGCACAAGCGGUGGAGCAUGUGGUUUAAUUCGAAGCAACGCGAAGAACCUUACCAAAUCUUGACAUCCUUUGACAACUCUAGAGAUAGAGCUUUCCCCUUCGGGGGACAAAGUGACAGGUGGUGCAUGGUUGUCGUCAGCUCGUGUCGUGAGAUGUUGGGUUAAGUCCCGCAACGAGCGCAACCCUUAAGCUUAGUUGCCAUCAUUAAGUUGGGCACUCUAAGUUGACUGCCGGUGACAAACCGGAGGAAGGUGGGGAUGACGUCAAAUCAUCAUGCCCCUUAUGAUUUGGGCUACACACGUGCUACAAUGGACAAUACAAAGGGCAGCGAAACCGCGAGGUCAAGCAAAUCCCACAAAGUUGUUCUCAGUUCGGAUUGUAGUCUGCAACUCGACUACAUGAAGCUGGAAUCGCUAGUAAUCGUAGAUCAGCAUGCUACGGUGAAUACGUUCCCGGGUCU